UACGGAGGAGGCAAGCGUUAUCCGGAAUUAUUGGGCGUAAAGCGUCCGCAGGUGGCACUUCAAGUCUGUCGUCAAAGACUGGGGCUUAACCCUGGAAAGGCAGUGGAAACUGAAGCGCUAGAGUGCGGUAGGGGUAGAGGGAAUUCCCGGUGUAGCGGUGAAAUGCGUAGAGAUCGGGAAGAACAUCGGUGGCGAAAGCGCUCUACUGGACCGCAACUGACACUCAGGGACGAAAGCUAGGGGAGCGAAUGGG
rnacentral:rRNA from 1 species